UACGGGGGGGGGCAAGCGUUGUUCGGAAUUACUGGGCGUAAAGGGCUCGUAGGCGGCCAACUAAGUCGGAUGUGAAAUCCCCAGGCUUAACCUGGGAACUGCAUCCGAUACUGGAUGGCUUGAAUCCGGGAGAGGGAUGCAGAAUUCCAGGUGUAGCGGUGAAAUGCGUAGAUAUCUGGAGGAAUACCGGUGGCGAAGGCGGCAUCCUGGACCGGUAUUGACGCUGAGGCGCGAAAGCCAGGGGAGCAAAGCGGG
rnacentral:rRNA from 1 species